rnacentral:rRNA from 1 species
GACGAACGCUGGCGGCGUGCUUAACACAUGCAAGUCGAACGGAAUCCAUGGUGUAGCAAUACACCGGAAGAUUUAGUGGCGAACGGGUGAGGAUCACGUGAGAAACCUGCCCCAGACUUUGGGAUAACAAUUGGAAACGAUUGCUAAUACCGAAUGACGUCGGAGAACCGCAUGGUUCACUGACGAAAGGAAAUCCGGUUUGGGAGGGUCUCGCGGCCUAUCAGCUUGUUGGUGGGGUAAUGGCCUACCAAGGCAACGACGGGUAGCUGGUCUGAGAGGAUGAUCAGCCACACUGGGACUGAGACACGGCCCAGACUCCUACGGGAGGCAGCAGUGGGGAAUCUUGCGCAAUGGGCGAAAGCCUGACGCAGCAACGCCGCGUGCGGGAUGAAGGCCUUCGGGCUGUAAACCGCUUUCAGCAGGAACGAAAAUGACGGUACCUGCAGAAGAAGGAGCGGCCAACUACGUGCCAGCAGCCGCGGUGACACGUAGGCUCCAAGCGUUGUCCGGAUUUAUUGGGCGUAAAGAGCUCGUAGGCGGUUUAGUAAGUCGGGUGUUAAAACUCUGGGCUCAACCCGGAGAGGCCAUCCGAUACUGCUGUGACUUGAGUUCAGGAGGGGAGCGGGGAAUUCCUAGUGUAGCGGUGAAAUGCGCAGAUAUUAGGAGGAACACCGGUGGCGAAGGCGC